rnacentral:rRNA from 1 species
ARGAUGAUCCUCGCUCAGAUUUAAAGCKGKCGGGAGGCCUMUMACAUACAAAACGAGCGGUGWCASACAUCAGCCUKGUKAUUUGSUGACGAGCGGCGGACGGGUGAGUAAUGUCUGGGAAACUGCCUGAUGGAGGGGGAUAACUACUGGAAACGGUAGCUAAUACCGCAUAACGUCUUCGGACCAAAGUGGGGGACCUUCGGGCCUCAUGCCAUCAGAUGUGCCCAGAUGGGAUUAGCUAGUAGGUGGGGUAAAGGCUCACCUAGGCGACGAUCCCUAGCUGGUCUGAGAGGAUGACCAGCCACACUGGAACUGAGACACGGUCCAGACUCCUACGGGAGGCAGCAGUGGGGAAUAUUGCACAAUGGGCGCAAGCCUGAUGCAGCCAUGCCGCGUGUAUGAAGAAGGCCUUCGGGUUGUAAAGUACUUUCAGCGAGGAGGAAGGUGUUGUGGUUAAUAACCACAGCAAU